rnacentral:lncRNA from 1 species
UUUUUUCUUUUACUUUUUAGGACCACACCCAUGGCAUAUGGAACUUCCAAGGCUAGGGGUCAAAUUGGAGCUACAGCUGCUGGCCUACUCCAUAGCCACAGCAACACGGGAUCUGAGCUGCAUCUGUAAUCCACAUCACAGCUCACAGCAACAACGGAUCCCCAACCCACUGAGCAAGGACUGGGAUAAAACCCACAUUCUCAUGGAUACUAGUUGGAUUCAUUCCUGCUGCAUCACAACAAGAAUUUCUUUUCACAACUGUUUUGAGUUGAGCUGUCUUUAGGGGAUGAAUAUAUGACAGGAAUGUCUAUUUUUUUUUUUUGGUCUUUUUGUCUUUUUGUCUUUUGAGGGCUGCACUCACGGCAUAUGGAGGUUCCCAGGUUAGGGGUCUAAUAAGAGCUGUAGCCACUGGCCUACACCAGAGCCACAGCAAUGCCAGAUUUGAGCCGCGUCUGCGACUUACACCACAGCUCACGGCAACACCGGAUCCUUAACUCACCGAGUAAGGCCAGGGACCGAACCCUCAACCUCAUGGUUCCUAGUCGGAUUCGUUAACCACUGCACCACGACAGGAACUCCCCCUUUCUUAAUAUAUUCCACGAACUUCUAUUGAAAGGUUACAAAGACAGAUAAAAUAUAGUCCUGGCUUUCAAGGGAUCAGGACAGAGGGUGCAGAAAAGAAGGAGCCAUUAUAAUACAAUGUGGUCAGUGGAAGGACAAAAAUAAGUUCACAUGGAACUAUGGGAACAGGGAAUAGUACUACAUCAUUAGUGAGAUAGAGCAGGAUAAAGGAAGACCUUCUCUAUACAGAUGUUAACUGAAGUUUUGAAGGAUGGUUUGAAGAGAGGUAGAAAAACAGCCCAGAAAGAGGAAGCAGCACAAAGGUAAAAACAGCUCAGGCAAGGCCAAGGGACUGGAACAUGCCUGUAUACGACCUCCCCUGGCAUGUGAGUUAGUACAAUUCUAAUUAUUGUGGCACAGCACUACCAACCCCCCCAAUAUAAAGACUUAAUGUCAGCUGUGACUUUAUUGUCAAUACAUGUGUGAAUUAGCAUUCACAUUCCAUUAAUUUAUCAUUGUAUUACAACCCAGAACAUAUACUAUGAACCAUAAAACCUGUUUGAAAAAAUCUCCUUAAUUUCAAAAUAAUUCUUAAGUAUGUAUUAGUAGGAAUACUUCAAUGUCUACUGCUGGUUCUCCUUCAUAAAAUAAUUUCUUAUUUUCAUGUUCCAGAUAGGAUCUAUUCAGUUUGACACACACUUUAACUGUUAAAUGUUAUUUUUCUAUUAAAAUUCAUAAAGUCAAGGAAAACUCCAAUUCAAUACAAGUUAAAUGCCUUACUUCCCACCUGUCAUCUGCACAAAGCAUAUAAUUUCCCUAAAAUUAUGCAAAAAUUAGCUAAUUAAGAUUUAAUUUGCUAAUCCUUGCUCUGUUAAACUAGUGACAUAUGCAAAUUGCCUGCUGAGCCCUUUAAAAUUUUUGAAGCAAAUAAUAAACAAGAUUUCUUUUGAGUUUAAAAAAUGUAAAGAAUCUGGUGAUUGACACAACAUAGCAGUAGAUAGUUGGAUAAAUACUAUAGUUUUAUUAGAAGCACAAAUUGGUAUAUUCAUAAAAAGCUGAAAUACAUGCACAGGCAUGUUAAUUACAACGUCUCAAGGACCAUAAAAACAUUAGAACAAGAGGAAAUUAACAGUGUGAGCCUCCAAAGAAAGUAUAUAUUCCAUCUCCUAUUUAUAAAAUUAUGGGAGGAGUUCCCAUUGUGGCUCAGCGGAAAUGAAUCUGGCUAAUAUCCAUGAGGAUGAGGGUUCCAUCCCUGGCCUCGCUCAGUGGGUUGGGGAUCCAGCGUUGCCAUGAGCUGUGGUGUAGAUUGCAAACAUGGCUCUGAUCCCGAGUUACUGUGGCUGUAGCUGUGGCUAUAGGUUUGCAGGUGUAUCUCAAAUUAGACCCCUAGCCUGGGAACUUCCAUAUGCAGCCGGUGUGGCCCUAAAAAGCAAAAAAUAAAAAAUAAAUAAAAUAAAAUUAUGGGAACUUCUACGGUUUUUCUAAAAUAUUCACUGCUUUUUAACCUUUGAAAAAAUUCCCAUUCAGUGUGAAAUAGAAUAAUAUCUACUAUAUUUGGGGAGGGGGAAUUACUGGGAACUACCUAGCACUGAAUUUCUCUAAGAAAGGAUCAGCAAAUAACAACACAAUUCCUUAGAUCAAUAUGGUCUGUGGAUGUUUUCCAAAUCCAGAAACUCUAGUUGUUUGAUUGAAUUAUUCAGUGUUAAGGAAGCUGUGUUGGGUUGUAUAGAAAGGGAUUAACCAAGGGGAAAGGUGUAGUGUGUGUGUGUGUGUGUGUGUGCACGCGCACAUGCAUGUGCAUGUGUGAUACAGGUGUCCCAUGUAGGAGUUCAUAUGAAUAUAAUGAUACCUGAUUUUUCAAACAGUUAAAAUAUAUAAAAGAAUUAAAGAGAUCCACAUUAAGUACAUCCUAAAACGUUUUUAAAUGGCAUUUAUCUGAUUAUGAAUGCUAUUUCUACUUAUAGCAUGGUAGAAUAUUGGGAUUUUUUGUUUGUUUUUCUUUUUUGGCUACCCCACAGCAUAUCGAGUUCCUGGGCCAGGGAUCAGAUCAGAGCUACAGUUGCCACUUCUGCUGCACUGUAGCAUUGCUGGAUCCUUUAACCCACUGUGCUGGCCAGGGAUCAAACCCACACCCUGGUGCUGCAGAGAUACUGCUGAACCCCUUGUGCCACAGUGGGAACUCCAAUAGAAUAUUGUUUUAAAAGGUGAAUAUUAUUUUUGAUCACUCCAAAAAUGAUACAAAAAUACUCAUUUGUUUAGUGUAUAAUAUAGAAUAUUCUGCUGGGUCUUUUACACAGAAUAUUUAGGAACAAUUUUGCACUUUUUCUUGUGUGUGUGUCUUUUUAGUGCCACACUCACAGCAUAUGGAAGUUUCCAGGCUAGGGGUCAAAUUGGAUCUGUAGCUACCAGCCUACACUACAGCCACAGCAACACAGGAUCCUUAAUCCACUGAGUGAGGCCAGGGAUCGAACCUGCAUCCUCAUGGAUACCAGUCAGAUUCAAACUCCCAACUUUGUACUUCCAAUGUCAGGAACUGUAAGGUUCGUGCUAUUGACUAUAAUCCAGCUUUACAAAAGUAAGCAAGUACUGACUGCUUCAAGUAAGUAAGCACUACUGCUUUAAGCAACUAGGUUUCUGGCAAUUAGAGCAGCAAUAGGGAAUUUACACAGCUUCUUACUGUUAUCAUCACUGAUAUUAUUUAUAGAGAACAGAGUUAUUUCAUAGCCAGACUGAGAGAGUGAAAUCCUGAAUAUCGGGUUCUGACUAUUGGCUAAAUAAAGGGCAGUGAGAUUAAUCGUGUGCUCAUUAAGUCUGAAACGUCCCUGAAACCAGCAGGAUCAGUCUGUCUACUGACGGCUUCACUUGGUACAAAUGAUUAGACAGCCUGGCUUUCCUAUGUGACUAAAACGAAAAAACAAACAAACAAAUAAAAACCUGCUGGAAAUUCUCCCUUGAAGUCAAGAUUCAUAGCAUAGUUCUUGGUGGUUCAUUCUAGAGACAAAGUGUUGCCAUGGGAGAUUAAGAAUCCUGGGAAGCUUAAGCCUGGUAGUCUCUUCCAGCACUAUUUUCUCUUCCUAUGCACAGCUAUUGCCUUUAAAUGAACACGUUAUGUGUAUAUGUUUGUUAGCGUCUUAAAAUUUCUUUAAAGUACUCAAAUUUGAUAAAUUUUUAGACCAUUACAAUAAAAUGUUUUGAAUGUUCCUUGUUUCUAAAUUACAGUCUAGAAAAUAUACCAACUCCCUCAGAUAUCCAAGAAUCUCUACAGCCUCUGUUAUGGGGAUUCUUGGAUAUUUUUUUUUCUCUCUUUUUAGGGCUGCACCUGGAAGUUCCCAGGCUAGGCAUCCAAUUAGAGCUGCAGCUGACAGCUUAUGGCACAGCCACAGUCAUUCCAGAGCCGAGCUGCACCUGUGACCUAUACUGAAGCUUGCAGGAAUGCUGGAUCCUUAACCCACGGAGCAAGACCAGGGAUUGAACCUGCAUCCUCAUGGAUACUAGUUGGGUUCUUAGCCUGCUGAGCCACAGUGGGAAAUCCCAGGAUUCUUAGAUAUUUUAAAGAAAUUUAUUGUCCAAUGUCUUAUUACCUAUACGAGGCUAUUACUCUUUGCAAUUUUAUUUCUUAAAUGCAUAGAUUCCGCAUAAGAACAGUGUGACUGCAAUGUACACUAACCAUUGCUUUAAGUAACAGUCCCUGCAAGGGAACUGAUUGAAUUAAUCUUAUAAAUGCACACACACACACAACUACACACAUAUGCAAUACAGCUCUUAGCAUCAUUGGCUUAUAUUUCAUAAGCAAAAGACACUUCUUUUAAAUCCUCAUUAGAAUGCUUUGGAGUACCCAUAAAACAAUUGCCAAUAUGUUAGAUUAGCAAAUAUAUGAAAAUCUCACUUGCUAUGAAGUGUAAUUCAUGUAAUAGUAGCAGAGAGUAAUCAACAAGAAAUUAAUCCUUUUCAUGUUGUGACCCAUAUAACUGUGAAGUGAAAAGUGAUCUUGACAUUGGGAAUUAGAGUUGCUUGCAACCAGGCAUGAGUAAAACAUUUCAAAUGACACCAUUUUGUGAAGUUUCAAUUAGUUCACACAAUAGAGGGUUUUAUGAUGACAGGAACAUGAGCCAAACCAAUAUUAAGGGGUUAUCAAAAUGGAGUUGCUUCAACAAAUCCAUCAAUUAUUCCCUCUUUGAAGAACUAGGACUGAGGAAACCGCAAUCAGAGAGCAGUCACUCAAAUAAGCCAGCAUACAGAUUUAAUCAUGAACAUGCUUCAAACAAAAUAAAAUUAAAA